rnacentral:sRNA from 1 species
UUCCAUUUGCAAACAAUUAUUCGAACAUAUCCUCAGGGUGCUGUUAAUUUUGCAUUAAUGAUGUCGCAAAUGGAGGGAGGUUUCCCAGUUGAUUACAACACCAUAACUGAUUCUUUUCUUAAGGUGUUUAUCUACUAUGAUUAAGUGAUAACGGUAAUUUUUACCAUUAUCUGUGUUGCAUUUUUUUACCAAAUCAACUCUCUUGAAGCUUGAAACCUG